GACGAACGCUGGCGGCGUGCCUAAUACAUGCAAGUCGAGCGAAUCUUGAGGUGCUUGCACCUCUUGGUUAGCGGCGGACGGGUGAGUAACACGUGGGCAACCUGCCUGUAAGACUGGGAUAACACCGGGAAACCGGUGCUAAUACCGGAUAAUCCUUUCCUUCUCAUGAGGGAAAGCUGAAAGUCGGUUUACGCUGACACUUACAGAUGGGCCCGCGGCGCAUUAGCUAGUUGGUGAGGCAACGGCUCACCAAGGCGACGAUGCGUAGCCGACCUGAGAGGGUGAUCGGCCACACUGGGACUGAGACACGGCCCAGACUCCUACGGGAGGCAGCAGUAGGGAAUCUUCCGCAAUGGACGAAAGUCUGACGGAGCAACGCCGCGUGAGCGAUGAAGGCCUUCGGGUCGUAAAGCUCUGUUGUUAGGGAAGAACAAGUACCGGAGUAACUGCCGGUACCUUGACGGUACCUAACCAGAAAGCCACGGCUAACUACGUGCCAGCCGCCGCAGUAACAC
rnacentral:rRNA from 1 species